rnacentral:rRNA from 1 species
UUGAACGCUGGCGGCAGGCCUAACACAUGCAAGUCGAGCGGUUGAGAGUAGCCUGCUACUUGAUGCAGCGGCGGACGGGUGAGUAACGCGUGGGAAUCUGCCCAGUAGUGGGGGACAACAGCCGGAAACGGCUGCUAAUACCGCAUACGCCCUACGGGGGAAAGGGGGGGAUCUUCGGACCUCUCGCUAUUGGAUGAGCCCGCGUCGGAUUAGCUAGUUGAUAGGGUAAAGGCCUACCAAGGCUACGAUCCGUAACUGGUCUGAGAGGAUGAUCAGUCACACUGGAACUGAGACACGGUCCAGACUCCUACGGGAGGCAGCAGUGGGGAAUAUUGGACAAUGGGGGAAACCCUGAUCCAGCCAUGCCGCGUGUGUGAAGAAGGCCUUAGGGUUGUAAAGCACUUUCAGUGGGGAGAAAGGUUUGUCACCUAAUACGUGAUGAAAUUGAUGUUACCCACAGAAGAAGCACCGGCUAACUCCGUGCCAGCCGCCGCAGUAAUAC